UGAACGCUGGCGGCGUGCCUACUACAUGCACGUCGAGCGAACAGACGCGGAGCUUGCUCCUCUGACGUUAGCGGCGGACGGGUGAGUAACACGUGGAUAACCUACCUAUAAGACUGGGAUAACUUCGGGAAACCGGAGCUAAUACCGGAUAAUAUAUUGAACCGCAUGGUUCAAUAGUGAAAGACGGUUUUGCUGUCACUUAUAGAUGGAUCCGCGCCGCAUUAGCUAGUUGGUAAGGUAACGGCUUACCAAGGCGACGAUGCGUAGCCGACCUGAGAGGGUGAUCGGCCACACUGGAACUGAGACACGGUCCAGACUCCUACGGGAGGCAGCAGUAGGGAAUCUUCCGCAAUGGGCGAAAGCCUGACGGAGCAACGCCGCGUGAGUGAUGAAGGUCUUCGGAUCGUAAAACUCUGUUAUUAGGGAAGAACAAAUGUGUAAGUAACUAUGCACGUCUUGACGGUACCUAAUCAGAAAGCCACGGCUAACUACGUG
rnacentral:rRNA from 1 species